rnacentral:tRNA from 1 species
GUGGCCGUAGCUCAAUGGCAGAGCCGCGGGUUGUGGUCCCGCUGAUGUCGGUUCGACUCCGACCGGUCACCCCU